rnacentral:rRNA from 1 species
UACGAAGGGGGCUAGCGUUGUUCGGAAUUACUGGGCGUAAAGGGCGCGUAGGCGGUGUGUCAAGUCAGGCGUGAAAGCCCCGGGCUCAACCUGGGAACCGCGCUUGAGACUGGCACGCUAGAGUUCGGGAGAGGAUGGUGGAAUUCCCAGUGUAGAGGUGAAAUUCGUAGAUAUUGGGAAGAACACCGAUGGCGAAGGCAGCCAUCUGGACCGACACUGACGCUGAGGCGCGAAAGCAUGGGGAGCGAACAGG